CAAGCCAUGUCAGUGGCAUCCGGAAGGUGGUGGAGGGAAGGUGCUUCUGGCUUCUGCUUCAUUGGAGCCCCUUUCCAGCUGCAAGCCAACACCAGGAGGAACUGAUCUGGGGACCUGGAGUUCAAGGCUGUAAACUCCCACAAAGGCCAGAGCUGGCGGAGCUGGAGAACCCCAUUCUGGGAAGCUGGUGGUGAGGGCCUCUGCCUUUGAUCACCAGGAAAACAGAGGACCUUCUCUGGCCAAACGCUUGACCUACCUUGCCUCUGUUCCCACAACAAUACUGCAAG
rnacentral:lncRNA from 10 species